ensembl:lncRNA
UUUUGCGUAGUGAGCAUCAGCCGUCCAGCUUCUAGUGCUUUCUGGGGCGUCUGAUUUAGCAACUGAUCGGCUCUCUUUUUCACUUUGAGGGGACACUGAAACUAACUUCCAUUUUUUUUUUUACUCAACUGAAUGGAUCCUGCAAUCGAAAGAGAAAAACUGUCUUACAGUUUUGCAAAGUUCCCGAGCCACCAAAAGACAAUAAAUCUCAAGAGUAGAGGAGACAAUCUACAUCCUGAAGCUCCACCGACAAGAUCUGAGAGGAGGAGAGCUGGUUUUUGGAUCCCUGACUACCUGCCUUCAUCAUUGACGAGCCGUUUGUGUACGACAUGCCACGCCAACUUGGAAGUCCUUUCAUUUACAAAGAAAAAAUCUAUGGAGCAGUUGAAGUCUUGCCUACAAGACUGGAUUCUUGGCCCCAAACCAGUCGAGGUUGAUUCCGAGGAAGGGAGGGCAGAAAUGGAAGAAGAACACCGACUGAGCAUUUGCAGUACACUGUUGGAGAGGGACGAGCUGCAGAUGGAAAAGGAGAAGGACGUCCCGCUGCCCGGUUUCCACCAGGGAGACGCAGGCUGCCAUCAGCCAGCCGUCCCUCCUCCGCUGAGAAGCUCCAUCUCUGCGUCCUACCCCGGGGAGAAAAGAAUGUCCAUUCACAGUGUGACCUUCUCCUGCCCCGUGACCCCGUAUGCCACCUCCCUUUGA